rnacentral:ncRNA from 1 species
CAUUGCAUGGUUGCAAUGACUUACGCGGAUACCACCGCGUAGUGGCUAGAACCCACAUAUAAGGAGAAAAAAAAUG